AAUGUUUCGAAAAGAGAAGAAGAAAAGAAAGAACAGAGCAGAAAAGAAAAGAAAAGAAAAGAAUCCAACCGGUCCUAACUUUUUGUAUCUUCCCUGGGUUUAAGCUUUACAUCUAUUCUAAAAGCUGUUGUUUUCCUUAUGU
rnacentral:ribozyme from 1 species